rnacentral:rRNA from 1 species
AUUGAACGCUGGCGGCAUGCCUAACACAUGCAAGUCGAACGGGAUCCUAGCUUGCUAGGUGAGAGUGGCGGACGGGUGAGUAACACGUGGGAAUCUGCCUUUUGGUUCGGGAUAACCGCGGGAAACUGCGGCUAAUACCGAAUGCCCUCGAGAGAGGAAAGAUUUAUCGCCAGAAGAGGAGCCCGCGUCCGAUUAGGUAGUUGGUGGGUAAAGGCCUACCAAGCCGACGAUCGGUAGCUGGUCUGAGAGGAUGAUCAGCCACACUGGGACUGAGAUACGGCCCAGACUCCUACGGGAGGCAGCAGUGGGGAAUAUUGGACAAUGGGGGCGAACCCUGAUCCAGCAAUGCCGCGUGAGUGAUGAAGGCCUUAGGGUUGUAAAGCUCUUUUGCCAGGGAAGAUGAUGACUGUACCUGGAGAAUAAGCCCCGGCUAACUUCGUGCCAGCAGCCGCGGUAAU